rnacentral:lncRNA from 1 species
UCUGAAAUCCCUCUCCUCUCAAACUCUCUACGAAGGGUCCUGAAACCCUAGCCUCUCUCACUCAUCUUCGACCAUAACCUCACCGGAAUCCAAGGCUUCUCAGGCCAUGGACGGCCUGUACUCACCACCCUUCACUCUUAAACCUUGGGUGUUCAAGGUUUCGAGGUCUGACCUCAGCGAUGUCUGUUCAAAUCUUCUCAAAUCCAAGGUUAUAUGGCCUUUCCGGUCUUGCUCCGGCGUGUCCAAGCAUUAGGAGCAUAUUUCUGACUCAUUCGACUCAAGACCGGACUUUCUUUCAAG